CCAGGCCAGGUCCUCAGGACCCUGGCCAGACCAUGGGUGGAGCUGCAGAAAGGCCGAGGCUUUGACCCAGGGGAGUCAGGCCACCAGGGCAGGUCCCCACAGGCCCCAGCACCAAGCCCUGCGGCGCUUGGGACCAAUAGGCACUCCAGAGCUAUGGGCUUGGACAGAUGGACAGACGGAUGGACGGAUAUAGGACACCUGCCUCCCUGGGGCAGCACGUGGCCCGGCCCCCAGCUGCGUCUGGCACAGCAAAGACCAACGAAUAUUUGUCAGAAGGAUUGUUUGCCGAAAGAGGGAAAAUUAAACUGACGAUCACCUCGUUCGGG